UACGUAGGGGGCAAGCGUUGUCCGGAUUUAUUGGGCGUAAAGAGCUCGUAGGCGGUUCGGUAAGUCGGAUGUGAAAUCUCCAGGCUCAACCUGGAGGGGUCAUUCGAUACUGCCGUGACUAGAGUUCGGUAGGGGAGUGUGGAAUUCCUGGUGGAGCGGUGAAAUGCGCAGAUAUCAGGAAGAACACCCAUGGCGAAAGCAGCUCUCUGGGACGGUACUGACGCUGAGACGCGAAAGCGUGGGGAGCGAACAGG
rnacentral:rRNA from 1 species